UGGUGGCAUGCACGGCUGGCGGCCCAGACGGCCCAGAUGUCAGUAAUGCCAACAGCAGACAGCACCCGGUGGAGGAGCUCUGGCAGGAAGGCAGCAAAGUCCGCAUCGGAGCCAAGAGUGUUCUUCGGCGGGGGCUCCGGCUUGAGCUUUUCUUGGAGUAGCAAUGGAGGUUGGGGUCCGAGAAGACACGCGGGGUUGGGAUGAGAAGGCGCCGGCGAGGGGUUCGGCAGUGGUCAGCUCCAGGUCGUGGAUUAGAGGUCCAUGGUAAGGACUACCAGAGAGAAACGUACAUGGUAAGGUGUACCACAGAGAAACAUACGUGAUGGAGAAGGUGUGCUAAAACUUAGGUGUAGAGAUGUCUGCAUCAAUCUGCACCCAUAUAUCAGGUGAAGUUAAGGAAAAUGAUGACACCCAGAUAUGGUUGGAUGGGACUGUAGCAGCAUCUGCAGGUGAAACGUCCAGCGUUUUUUUAUGCAUAGGAAGCACACAGGAAGAAGAUGCAAUGUGGUUGUGAAAAAAAUGCUAUGACUAGAAUUCUUUUGUGGUAGAAUUAGAAAGAAGAUUUAAGGUGGUUAGUUCAAACAUUGGCACCAUGGCUUUAGUUGUCAAAUUUGUGACUUUUCCUAGAACAGAUAUAAAUUUAUUAUGAAUUUCAUAUUAUAGCUGUUAUUUUCAUGUUAACAUGUCGUAGCAUUCAUAAGGUGAUGUCUAAGUAUUUCCCAUGCAACGAGGUAAUGGCUUAUAACUAAUGAUAUAUGUCUUCUUUAUAUAACUUGCAUAUUAACUGAUCCAGUGAAGCACUGGCAGAGCCUCGUGGAGGCCAAAGGGGGUCUUCCAAAACUGCAUUUUCUUUCUAUGUAUACUAAGCGUGUUAGUCCAUCCCAUGGGUGGAUAAUUGUCUCUCAAUCCGAUCAAUUAUUGCAUAGUCCAUACGUACAAAGCUAAGCUAGCUAGCAUAAGCAGCUUGAUUGAUUGUACGUACAAAGCUAGCUAUCUACUACAACUACAAGCAACUUGAUUGAUUAUUGUUAGAGCAUCUUCCACACGGAAUGCUUGCUUGCUUCUUCAAUUGAUGGAUUCGUCCGCUAUGUUCGAUUACAAUGUAAUCUCGUGUCAUUUCUAUUUUCAUGCAUCUUCUGUUGCAAGAUGUGGUUAUACUUCUAGAUAGACGUACAUGUUCACAAUUUUUCACCAUUAUUCCACAAAUUUUAUUAUUAUGUACAAAAUGGCACCAUUGAACUUUCAUUUCCGUUUCACCAGUUGAACACAUAGUGCAGGAAGGAGGACAUAUCAGCAAGACGGACUGGGCUGUUAAAUAUGAGAUGCCAAUUGUGCCAGUGCAUGGCAAAAUAACUAUUUGAGGUAUAUAUAGUGUGCUACAUAUUACUACAAUCCGUGCAAUUUCUCCCAGAAUGGUCCUUGCCAGCUGUCAAGACUUUUGUCGGAUGCUACUCUGCACAGAUACGUCUGAUAGUUAACAUCCCUAUUCGGCUAUUUCAUUGAACAAAAUUCAGGUCUGACUCCUUUAUGUGUAUCUGAGAAAUUGACAGAUUAGAAGCCUAGAAGUUGUCCUCUUAUGCUUUGGUUAUCAUAAUUAGAGCUCCAGUAGUUCAAAAUCUUACUAAUAUUUGCAUAUUAUACAUUUAUCCUUUUGCUGCCAAUUUGUUUCCUCUAAAAUUAAAUUGCAGAGUUCCAUAUCUGAAUAUCGAAUUUUGGAUGUCCUGUUUUAUUACUGUUUUCACUUCACGAACAGGUUGAUCUCUUCAAGAAGAAUCACAAGUUUCUGAAAUGUGGCACAAAAGUUCACAUGUACUAAUUAGGAAUGAUUAGUUCUUAUGGGCAAGGUGUUAUGGAUUUCACAAGUCUUAGCUUCUUCGUCACUAUGUGCUGUGGCAGUUACUUGAGCAUUGGCAGCAUGGUCUACUCUUUUGAGGUCGCUGAGUUUUAGCCCUCUGAGGGAGCACUAUUUUGUACUGGCAUGAGCUUAAUUUUGCUUGAAACAUAAUUCAGAUGCUUGCUCUGUAUUUUUCAAGCCUCGCACCAGCCACUGCUGCUCUGCACACCAUCGGCGCCGUCCGCUCCCAACUCUCUGCUGCAGCAACCUCGCCGCUCACCGCCACAGAAAUUUUUUGGCUUGAAGGAUGUGGUUUACUGGUUAGGAACCAUAUGUUUAUUGUGUUUGAUGUGUACCUAUCAAUAAUAUAGCAUCGCGUUGAUGGAUGUAAGUCUACCUAAUAUUUUGUGACUCCGUAGCGUAGCAUGGGCAUCUUACUAGUAGUGGAAGAUAUGGAACGUAAUACUUAUUAGGAC